CAAUCCUGUGAGUAAAGUGGCGUACGGGUGAGUAACACGUGGAUUAUCUACCUUCUAGUGGGGGAUAACCCUGGGAAACCGGGGCUAAUACCGCAUAAGUUCGAGAGAAGAAAGCAGCAAUGCGCUGGAAGAGGAGUCCGCGGCCGAUUAGCUAGUUGGUAGGGUAAAAGCCUACCAAGGCUACGAUCGGUAGCCGGCCUGAGAGGGCACACGGCCACACUGGCACUGAAACACGGGCCAGACUCCUACGGGAGGCAGCAGUGGGGAAUCUUGCACAAUGGGGGCAACCCUGAUGCAGCGACGCCGCGUGAGCGAUGAAGCCCUUCGGGGUGUAAAGCUCUUUCGGCAGGGACGAUUAUGACGGUACCUGCAGAAGCAGCUGCGGCUAACUACGUGCCAGCAGCCGCGGUAAUACGUAGGCAGCAA
rnacentral:rRNA from 1 species